CUUUCCUCUCCCGUUUCAGACAUCUGCUUGUUUAAAAAUAUGACUGAACGAUUACUCUUGAAUAGAAGAGCAUCACCUCCUAGAUCAACAUCUACCUUCCUCUUGCCCUCUGCUGCUACGCAGGAAAUGCGUGAGGCUGGAAACAGUGACUUCCAGGCAUCUGAGAUGACACAACAUAGAUUGCCAAAUUGCAUGCCACCCUGCAGUUGCCAAGGAGAUAAUAAAUCUAUGAAACUAUUAUCAUAAAUAAAGAGAACCUCAGCCAGAAAAUAAGAUAUUAAUGACAUGAAGAAAGAACACCAUGGAGUGAGCACAAUAAUCAGAUUGUGGAGAGCUUUCCAACUGAGGAAGAACAUUAUGAUGAGCUAGUGAAAAAGCAACAAAUUCUGUCUCAUUGCUUGCAUUGCUGAGAGUAUAUGAUUGUGCUUAUUCUACUGUGCUAGCAGAUUGAUCUGGAAUAAACAUAUAUAAUGUACAUA